GACGAACGCUGGCGGCGUGCUUAACACAUGCAAGUCGAACGGAAAGGCCCUGCUUGCAGGGUACUCGAGUGGCGAACGGGUGAGUAACACGUGGGUGAUCUGCCCUGCACUUCGGGAUAAGCCUGGGAAACUGGGUCUAAUACCGGAUAGGAGCCAUUUUUAGUGUGAUGGUUGGAAAGUUUUUUCGGUGUAGGAUGAGCUCGCGGCCUAUCAGCUUGUUGGUGGGGUAAUGGCCUACCAAGGCGGCGACGGGUAGCCGGCCUGAGAGGGUGGACGGCCACAUUGGGACUGAGAUACGGCCCAGACGCCUACGGGAGGCAGCAGUGGGGAAUAUUGCACAAUGGGCGCAAGCCUGAUGCAGCGACGCCGCGUGGGGGAUGACGGCCUUCGGGUUGUAAACUCCUUUCGCCAGGGACGAAGCUUUUUGUGACGGUACCUAGAUAAGAAGCACCGGCUAACUACGUG
rnacentral:rRNA from 1 species